AGCUUUGCACAGUGGCAGUAUCAUAGCCAAUGACAUUUAUCUGAGGCACGAUUAUUGCUAAAUGAACCAGAUGUCCACAGUCCCCGCUCAGAUGAGUUCACAUUUUAAUACGUAGAGAGAUUAUGCACAUACACAAUAAGAUAAAUGCUGUA
ensembl:snRNA U4 U4 spliceosomal RNA